CUUUACCCCUGAUGUCAAUUCCUGUGCUUUGCUUAAUAAAAAUAAAAAAAUACCUCUUGCAGAUUUUAGGCUUUUUCAGAGAGCCAGCCAGAGGAUCCUUCCACCUCACCUCUGCUGUCUCCCUUUUGCUCAACCACAAGUCCCAAAAUAAAAAUCUUGUCUGGGAAAUCUGCUUGGCCCUGUGUUAACUUCUGUUACAUGGGAGCCAAAGAGCCUGUGGUCUGUAACAGGUUCUCUGGCAACCAUGACGGGAUUAUAGGACGUGGUGAGCAUUUUUCUCCAAGGAGGAGGCUUGUGAGCCAGCAUGAUGGCGGGGUGUGCCUGCCUCCUUCAUGGGUGACAGGUGGUCACCUGAAUCUUUGAUUCAGCAUUGCCACAACUGCAUGGCUUGGCCCCCACAGCUAUGGCACAGGGAGCAGGGUCAUCAAAAUCCACUCUGCUCUUCCAGAAGCUGCAGAGAGAGGGAACCCUAAAACCUGACAUGCCAGAAAAGAUUGCACUGAAGCUGAGAGAUGUGUAGUCCUAGACUAGAAGAAGAGAUUCAGCUGAGACCAAGGGCUCAGUUGCAGAAAGAAGUGACCACGAGGCUGUGAAAUCCUAAUAAUAAACUGAAAUCCCUGAAAGACUACUGGACUCCUAGAAAUCGAAACCAGUCUUAUAUAGUGAAAUCUCAAAGAAAAGGCCGAACCAAGGUGACAGCAAGGUUACACCACAGACUUAGCAUAUGUGAGCAUACAGCAUCUGUUUCCAAGCCUAUACCAGAUGGAUGAAAAUAAUUAUUGGAGAAAUCUGAGAAAAGGAAGAUCAAGGCACUUUUAACAUCAGCAGAAGAUAAUGAAAGGGUAGAACAAAAAUUGAAAACCAGAGACACUGUCAGGAGUAAACUAAAGCCACUUCUCAGAGUUUCCAUAGAUCCAAUGGCACUGCCAUAAAUCUAGAUUGAGAAAGUCCAUUAGCAGUUAUUGCAGAUACAGUUACCUUCUCCUCACCCCAAAUUCUAAAUAAAAUAUAUCAAAAUAAAUGAACAGAUUGGUUAUUAUUUAAAUAUUAACCCAAUUUGCCAGCUUCUUUUAGGUCGUAAAUUUGCAUGGACUCAUGGUAAUCCAAAUGACUGUAUAACCAAUCAGGAUAUUUAGGAAAAAAAAAAAAAGAAUCAGUGGCAAUACUCAAGCCCAGGUUCCAUGCCAUCUGCAGGAGCUGUGCCACCGUUUUUAUUAUAAAAGAAACUACUAUUAGGAUGCAGUCGGACUGGUUUUUCCAAGCACUAAAUCCAUAUGGGUAGAACUCAAUAAAUACCAUGCACAUAAUAAUUACUAACAUCUGUAGAGUGCUUUCCGGUCUACAUGUUGCUUUGUUUAACCUUCAUAACUGUUAUAAUCCUCUUUUAUAGCUCAGGAAACUGAGGCUUAGGGAGGUAAAGUGAUCUAGUUAAGAGCACACAGCAAAAAACUUUUAAACCAUAAAUUUUGACUCUAUAAUGAAGUUUUUUGAUUCCAAAUCCAGAGCUUCUGCUACCUUGUGGUGCCUCUCUGAAAAUGUUUUAACAACAAUAAUGUUGUGAUUAUACCUUUCAAUGUAAUUUUUAGAAAAUGUUGCCUUUUAGUAUCUUCCAGCCACAGCAGCUAAUAUUUUAUGAGGUCAUAUUUCUGAGUUAUUUGUAGUAUGGAAACUGAACAUUUGAAAACAUUAUUGAAAUCUAUUUAAAAACUGUUAUUUGGUUAAUUUGUAAACCUCAACCUCCUUGCCUCAAGUGAUCCUUCCACCUCAGCCUCCCGAGUAGCUGGGACUAAAGACAUGCACCACCAUGCCUGGCUAGUUUUUGUAGAGACAGGGUUUUGUCAUGUUGCCUAGGCUGGUUUCAAAGAGUUUGUAGUGAUUUUGAAAGCGAAAGCAAGCUAGAUAAAGCCUACUUUAUGAAACAUGUGCUUGGAAUAAAAUAGAUUAGGAUUUAAACCCAUAAUAAUAAAGAGCCACGCCACCUCUCCUUAUAGGGAAUAUUUAAUAUAUUCCCCUAGAACAUAAAGAGUUAAUUGUUAAUCACUUAACAGGAAGACUAGGAGAAGGGGUUCUACGACAUUAAAAGCAAAAAUGGGAAGAAAUGUUUUAAAUAAACUAGAAAUCGGUGGGACCACACAUUCACUUAAUAAAUCUUUACUGGCCAUUUACUAUGUAUCAUAUAAUGCCAAAUACUUGGGGAAAUUUAAAUUUUAGAAGACAAAGCCUAUCUUUUUGAAGAGCUCAAAGUGCAAUGGAGAAGAAAGCAAUGAAUAAAAUGUUUGAAUUAAGAAGGAGAAACUUGUCUGCAGGAAUAAGCAAAGGAAGUAAAAUUAAAUUAGAGUUCUGAAGGAUAAAUUGUAUCUUCACAGGAUGAGAAAUGGGUAAAAUGCAUUUGGAAAGGAGCAGCUCACGCAAUGGCAUAAAAGUAUGAGAAAGAGAUUAAGUUCAUGCAAUGGUGACAUGGUCACUGCAAGUAGAUCACAGGGUACUUGAACGAGUGGUGAGAAAGGAGUCUGAAAGACUGCAGGGGCCGGUUUGAGAGGGGUCUUUGAUGACACGACGAGAUGUAGUGACUUUGCAGGCUCCAGGGUGCCAACAGCCUAUGCUUUUCAGGCAGGCAAUAGCACCAUGGAAUGUGCAGUUUAGAAAGACAAUUCCGGUGGCUUAAUGUGGGAAGAGACUGGUGGCAAUGCAGUAUUUUAUAGGCUGUUGCAGCUGUAGCAGCAAGAUGGACCUAUAGAAUUAUGUAUAUUGUCCUAAAUUAGAGGGUGUAUUUUACUUUAGAAUAAUCAAUGCCGUUAAUAAUUGUAGGCAGUUCAUAAUAUAAAACGUUUUCAAGCAAGGGCAGGUUUGGGGAGGAAGGCCUUGAGGAAGAUUCAUUAUAUAGUAAGCUAAUAGGAAUAAAGGCUUCAAUGUGAUGUCCGAUGUCUUAGGAUGGUGACAGUUCUUUUAGUUUUAGCUCUCCAAAAAGUAUUUCCACCAUUUUAUUUAAAUAUCUCUAUUAGCAUCCUUAUAUGUUAGGGAUUUCUUCUUCUUUUAAAAAACUUAAUUUCAGAGACCUCUCCUGAGAAAAAAAUAGAAAGAAACUCUUUAUGCUUGCAAAGCUAAUAAGCAAUACAUUGUAUUGGGAAAAAAUAUAAAAAUAAGUAGAGAACCUUUUAUUUAAAAAUGGAAAUAAGUCUUUAAAGUCGUUUUUUCUGAAACAAAUGUGGUCUUUUGUUACAUUGAGUGGGAAAAUCUUAAAUCAAACUUUCCAGGAUAGAACAUUAA
rnacentral:lncRNA from 10 species